rnacentral:rRNA from 1 species
UUGAACGCUGGCGGCAGGCCUAACACAUGCAAGUCGAGCGGUAGCACAGAGAGCUUGCUCUCGGGUGACGAGCGGCGGACGGGUGAGUAAUGUCUGGGAAACUGCCUGAUGGAGGGGGAUAACUACUGGAAACGGUAGCUAAUACCGCAUAACGUCGCAAGACCAAAGUGGGGGACCUUCGGGCCUCAUGCCAUCAGAUGUGCCCAGAUGGGAUUAGCUAGUAGGUGGGGUAACGGCUCACCUAGGCGACGAUCCCUAGCUGGUCUGAGAGGAUGACCAGCCACACUGGAACUGAGACACGGUCCAGACUCCUACGGGAGGCAGCAGUGGGGAAUAUUGCACAAUGGGCGCAAGCCUGAUGCAGCCAUGCCGCGUGUGUGAAGAAGGCCUUCGGGUUGUAAAGCACUUUCAGCGGGGAGGAAGGCGGUGAGGUUAAUAACCUCAUCGAUUGACGUUACCCGCAGAAGAAGCACCGGCUAACUCCGUGCCAGCAGCCGCGGUAAUACGGAGGGUGCAAGCGUUAAUCGGAAUUACUGGGCGUAAAGCGCACGCAGGCGGUCUGUCAAGUAGGAUGUGAAAUCCCCGGGCUCAACCUGGGAACUGCAUUCGAAACUGGCAGGCUAGAGUCUUGUAGAGGGGGGUAGAAUUCCAGGUGUAGCGGUGAAAUGCGUAGAGAUCUGGAGGAAUACCGGUGGCGAAGGCGGCCCCCUGGACAAAGACUGACGCUCAGGUGCGAAAGCGUGGGGAGCAAACAGGAUUAGAUACCCUGGUAGUCCACGCCGUAAACGAUGUCGAUUUGGAGGUUGUGCCCUUGAGGCGUGGCUUCCGGAGCUAACGCGUUAAAUCGACCGCCUGGGGAGUACGGCCGCAAGGUUAAAACUCAAAUGAAUUGACGGGGGCCCGCACAAGCGGUGGAGCAUGUGGUUUAAUUCGAUGCAACGCGAAGAACCUUACCUGGUCUUGACAUCCACAGAACUUUCCAGAGAUGGAUUGGUGCCUUCGGGAACUGUGAGACAGGUGCUGCAUGGCUGUCGUCAGCUCGUGUUGUGAAAUGUUGGGUUAAGUCCCGCAACGAGCGCAACCCUUAUCCUUUGUUGCCAGCGGUUAGGCCGGGAACUCAAAGGAGACUGCCAGUGAUAAACUGGAGGAAGGUGGGGAUGACGUCAAGUCAUCAUGGCCCUUACGACCAGGGCUACACACGUGCUACAAUGGCAUAUACAAAGAGAAGCGACCUCGCGAGAGCAAGCGGACCUCAUAAAGUAUGUCGUAGUCCGGAUUGGAGUCUGCAACUCGACUCCAUGAAGUCGGAAUCGCUAGUAAUCGUAGAUCAGAAUGCUACGGUGAAUACGUUCCCGGGCCUUGUACACACCGCCCGUCACACCAUGGGAGUGGGUUGCAAAAGAAGUAGGUAGCUUAACCUUCGGGAGGGCGCUUACCACUUUGUGAUUCAUGACUGGGGUG